rnacentral:rRNA from 1 species
UACGAAGGGUGCAAGCGUUGUUCGGAUUUAUUGGGCGUAAAGCGCGCGCAGGCGGCUUGAAAAGUCAGAUGUGAAAUCUCGGGGCUCAACUCCGAAACUGCGUCUGAAACUCUCAAGCUAGAGUCAUGGAGGGGAAAGGGGAAUUUCACGUGUAGGGGUAAAAUCCGUAGAGAUGUGAAGGAACACCUGAGGCGAAGGCGCCUUUCUGGCCAUGUACUGACGCUGAGGCGCGAAAGCGUGGGGAGCAAACAGG